rnacentral:rRNA from 1 species
AGCAGCCGCGGUAAUUCCAGCUCCAAUAGCGUAUAUUAAAGUUGUUGCAGUUAAAAAGCUCGUAGUUGAAUUUCGGGAUUGACCCAUCGGUCGUGCCUUAAGGGGUAUGAACUGGUGUAGUCAAUUUCUCACCUUCUGGAGAACCGUGAUGUCCUUAAUUGGGUGCCACGAGGAACCAGGACCUUUACUUUGAAAAAAGUUAAAGUGUUUAAAGCAGGCAUUUUUGCUUGAAUACAUUAGCAUGGAAUAAUAAAAUAGGACGGCAUGAUUCUAUUUUGUUGGUUUCUAGGAUCACCGUAAUGAUUAAUGGGGAUAGUUGGGGGCAUUAGUAUUCAAUUGUCAGAGGUGAAAUUCUUGGAUUUAUUGAAGACUAACUACUGCGAAAGCAUUUGCCAAGGAUGUUUUCAUUAAUCAAGAACGAAAGUUAGGGGAUCGAAGACGAUCAGAUACCGUCGUAGUCUUAACCAUAAACUAUGCCGACUAGGAAUCAGACGAUGUUAAUUUUUUAAUGACUCGUUUG